UCUAUACACAGAUCAUUUUAUCUGGGAUUGUUUACACCUCUCUUGCCUGGAUCAUUUUAUCUGAGAUCCUUCACACCUCUCUUGCCUGGAUCGCUUUAUCUGGGAUCCUUCACACCUCUCUUGCCUGGAUCGCUUUAUCUGGGAUCCUUCACACCUCUCUUGCCUGGAUCGCUUUAUCUGGGAUCGUUCAUACCUCUCUUCAUCCUCUUCAACCUCCAUCUUCCCUUCAGUCUUGUCAAGAUUGAUUUUCUGGAUAAUGGAUCUAGAAACUCAAGGUACCCUGUAAUGACGAUGGUUGGAUACUGUAUAUGUAAAUACCCUUUCACCCAGUUGACUGAAAGAAGGAAGCAGGUUGCUACAGGGUGUUGAAGGACUCAGACGGAGCCAGGCCAGGAGGCAGGCGCUUGGCCCGCUUUCUGGGUACCGUGAAUACUCACCUCACAGGAAUGUUGCCCAUCAUUAAUGGUUGAAGAACAUUCCGACCCACGGAUGAAAGGCAGGAGAUAAGUACAGAGUGCUGUGGUUGUCUUUGUUAUGAUUGCUGGCUUUCAUUAGCGUUUUACGGGGCCCUCUCUCUCAUGACCGUGCCAAUGAUGCCGAAGCGUCUUGGGAAUUCUUAGUCCACGAUCAGUCCUGGUUAUCUAUUGCUUUGUUCAAUUUGUCUAGGGCUUAAGCUAAUUGAAUUAUAGCUUAGUGAAAAUAGUUCUAAUUGAAGGAUAAAUCAUUUCAGCUUUCAUGAGCAAGCUACAAGGUAACUUAAAAAAAGAAAGAAUGAAUGG
rnacentral:sRNA from 1 species